CCCAAACAGGUCAGCGCGUGACUGCAUGACAAGCGUGAUGCUCCGCUGACGGGACGCCAGCUAAAGUCCAUUGAGUAGAUUGUUUGUUGUUGUUUUUUACUAAAACGUUGACUUUAUUUUAGGUUUUCUACACCUCGUUUCUUUUUUUCCCUACAAACUAGUGCACAUAGAACAAACAUUACAGACCAGCAAUGUAAUGUUGGUUUGCAACAUUACAUUGUUACAGGCCAAUGCAAUGUUACGCUUGUCAAGACAACAAAUAUCAGCAAACAAAGAAAAAGAAGAAGAACAACGAAAAGCAAGACGGUUCCUCGUUCGGUUGUGUUUUCUAACAUGGAAGAUAUUUCCAGCGGUGGCCUGCAGGACAGCUGUUGGCCAGCUGUUGGCCGCUCCCCGCUCUCAGCCCGCUCACGGCACGAUCAUCCCAAUCUAGACUUAAAUAUCUGAUAACUGGGUGAUCAAGAUAAAGAAUGGCCUGUUUACAGAGGCAGAGCAGCUCCGGCCCGGCCCCGGGAUCACACAGCAGGAAUGUUCGUGCUACGAACAACUAAUUAGACUCUAAUUAGGAGUUCAAAAAGCAAGUAAAACAACAGAACGCAACGAGUGUUAAUGGCUUCUUAACAAGCGCGCUCGGUUCAAACAGCUGCGCUUGGAAGGGCUUCACAAAGGAGGCCGGGCGACGCGGCGGAGAACGUUUGGAAACAACACAGAAGAAUAAACAUCAGCUCCGAUCAACCGCUCCAAAUGAAGCGGCUACAAGAGUGUUUCCUCUCCCUCUACUUCGAAGCGUCGUCUCCAGUUUCUCUGGAGACUCCUCCUGAGAGCAGAGCACGGCACAGUACCCAGAGCAGUGUUGAUUUUUCAAAAAUAAAGCCAACUUUAACAUUUCA